CCUACGGGUGGCAGCAGUGAGGAAUAUUGGUCAAUGGACGAGAGUCUGAACCAGCCAAGUAGCGUGAAGGAUGAAGGCCCUAUGGGUCGUAAACUUCUUUUAUAGGGGAAUAAAGUGCGGAACGUGUUCCGCUUUGUAUGUACCCUACGAAUAAGGAUCGGCUAACUCCGUGCCAGCAGCCGCGGUAAUACGGAGGAUCCGAGCGUUAUCCGGAUUUAUUGGGUUUAAAGGGAGCGUAGGUGGACGUAUAAGUCAGUUGUGAAAGUUUGCGGCUCAACCGUAAAAUUGCAGUUGAUACUGUAUGUCUUGAGUGUACAAGAGGUGGGCGGAAUUCGUGGUGUAGCGGUGAAAUGCUUAGAUAUCACGAAGAACUCCGAUUGCGAAGGCAGCUCACUAGAGUACAACUGACACUGAGGCUCGAAAGUGUGGGUAUCAAACAGGAUUAGAUACCCCUGUAGUC
rnacentral:rRNA from 1 species